rnacentral:rRNA from 1 species
GGAGGGUGCAAGCGUUAUCCGGAUUCACUGGGUUUAAAGGGAGCGCAGGCGGAUUGGUAAGUCAGUGGUGAAAGGCUUAAGCUUAACUUGGGAACUGCCAUUGAUACUAUCAGUCUUGAAUGUUGUUGAGGUUUGCGGAAUGGGUCAUGUAGCGGUGAAAUGCAUAGAUAUGACCCGGAACACCUAUUGCGAAGGCAGCAGGCUAAACAAAUAUUGACGCUGAGGCUCGAAAGCGUGGGGAUCAAACAGGAUUAGAUACCCUGGUAGUCCACGCCCUAAACUAUGAUUACUCGACAUACGCGAUACACUGUGUGUGUCUGAGCGAAAGCAUUAAGUAAUCCACCUGGGAAGUACGACCGCAAGGUUG